UACGAAGGGGGGCUAGCGUUGUUCGGAAUUACUGGGCGUAAAGCGCGUGUAGGCGGGUCUUUAAGUCAGGGGUGAAAUCCUGGAGCUCAACUCCAGAACUGCCUUUGAUACUGAGGAUCUUGAGUAUGGGAGAGGUGAGUGGAACUGCGAGUGUAGAGGUGAAAUUCGUAGAUAUUCGCAAGAACACCAGUGGCGAAGGCGGCUCACUGGCCCAUUACUGACGCUGAGGCACGAAAGCGUGGGGAGCAAACAGG
rnacentral:rRNA from 1 species